rnacentral:rRNA from 1 species
UACGUAGGGCGCAAGCGUUAUCCGGAAUUAUUGGGCGUAAAGAGCUCGUAGGCGGUUUGUCGCGUCUGCCGUGAAAGUCCGGGGCUCAACCCCGGAUCUGCGGUGGGUACGGGCAGACUAGAGUGAUGUAGGGGAGACUGGAAUUCCUGGUGUAGCGGUGAAAUGCGCAGAUAUCAGGAGGAACACCGAUGGCGAAGGCAGGUCUCUGGGCAGUAACUGACGCUGAGGAGCGAAAGCAUGGGGAGCGAACAGG